ACGACUAUUCUCUCCUGGCAUUAAAAUGCAUCUCCACAUGCGUCCUGAGUGACCACUUGUGAUCCGAUCUCACUUCCCCGCCCUAUAUGCUAAUAAACACGCAGUAAACACUGUCUAAUACAGCAGACGUUGUGACGUAAUAUUACAUGAAUGUCAGUAGUAAUAUCCUACAUAUUCGUGAUGUUAAUUUGG